UAGGGAAUCUUGCGCAAUGGGCGAAAGCCUGACGCAGCCAUGCCGCGUGAAUGAUGAAGGUCUUAGGAUUGUAAAAUUCUUUCACCGGGGAAGAUAAUGACGGUACCCGGAGAAGAAGCCCCGGCUAACUUCGUGCCAGCAGCCGCGGUAAUACGAAGGGGGCUAGCGUUGCUCGGAAUUACUGGGCGUAAAGGGCGCGUAGGCGGAUAUUUAAGUUGGGGGUGAAAGCCCGGGGCUCAACCUCGGAAUAGCCUUCAAUACUGGAUAUCUUGAGUUCGGGAGAGGUGAGUGGAAUGCCGAGUGUAGAGGUGAAAUUCGUAGAUAUUCGGCGGAACACCAGUGGCGAAGGCGACUCACUGGCCCGAUACUGACGCUGAGGCGCGAAAGCGUGGGGAGCAAACAGGAUUAGAUACCCUGGUAGUCCACGCCGUAAAACGAUGAGUGCUAGUUGUCGGCAUGCAUGCAUGUCGGUGACGCAGCUAACGCAUUAAGCACUCCGCCUGGGGAGUACGGUCGCAAGAUUAAAAACUUAAAGGAAAUUGACGGGGGUCAUAGCUGUUUCCUG
rnacentral:rRNA from 1 species